UAGUGACAAUGUAAGAGCUUGAAGAACAACGUGUGUACGUGAAAUUUUGCUACUACCUUGGCAAAACUUUCACAGAGACAUUUCGGUUGCUUAGCCCAGGUGCGGGG
rnacentral:lncRNA from 1 species